GUGGGGAAUAUUGGGCAAUGGGGGAAACCCUGACCCAGCGACGCCGCGUGAGGGAAGAAGGCCUUAGGGUCGUAAACCUCUGUUGUGUGGGAAGAAGAGCGUGACGGUACCACACGAGGAAGUCCCGGCUAACUACGUGCCAGCAGCCGCGGUAAUACGUAGGGGACGAGCGUUGUCCGGAUUUACUGGGCGUAAAGGGCGCGUAGGCGGUCAUUUAAGUCAGCUGUGAAAUGGUUUGGCUUAACCGGAUCAUGCGGUUGAAACUGGAUGACUGGAGUGCUGGAGAGGCAAGUGGAAUUCCCAGUGUAGCGGUGAAAUGCACAGAGAUUGGGAGGAACACCAGUGGCGAAGGCGGCUUGCUGGGCCGAAACUGACGCUGAGGCGCGAAAGCGUGGGGAGCAAACAGGAUUAGAUACCCGAGUAGUCC
rnacentral:rRNA from 1 species